GCCACACUUCUUUCUUCUUAAAUCUUGGAGACCAUCCGUUGGUGUAUGUUUUGUUUGUUUGAUUUAGGUAUCUUAUUCAACAAAUUCUGAAAACCCCUUUAUUCUUUGCUUCAAUUACAAGUAGAAGCUGACUAAUACAACUUUGAUAAAUUACAAGAAAAAUAGAGAAAUUUGGAAAAAUGGAUGUGGACUUUUGGGCUGCAAGAAUAAAUUCAGCAAGGCAUAAUCUCUCUGCUGUACAAACUAACAGACUCAGCAAUUAUGAUAGUCUCUCAAAUGUGGAUAAUACUCAAGGAGAAGAGGAUGUAAGAGCCUGGUUCCCCUGCCCUUUCUGUUAUGUUGAAAUUGAAGUCCAGAUGCUUUGCAAUCAUUUGAAAGAAGAGCAUUGCUUUGAUUUUAAAAACGCGGUUUGCCCCAUAUGUGCUGCAACAUUAGGUAAAGAUCCUCUGGGGCAUUUUAUGGUACAGCAUGCACAAUCAGUGAAGAGGAAGAGAAAGUACCUGAAGUCAGGCUUCUGGAAUAAUACUACAGCAAUAAGUGGCAAGGACCCCCACGAAGUAAAUUCGUUCUUCUGCACAAAUUUAGGGGUUGGUCGUUACAAUGUGCCAGAACCUGCUCCAGAUCCCCUUCUGCUGCCAUUUCUAUGUAGCGUGGCUCCUUCUGAUCCUAAAGACGGUCCACAAGAUAACUCUCUUGGCAGUGCUGCUGCCACUCCUGAUGUAGAAAGCAGCAAAAUGCCAGUAUGUGAUCCAGCCUUGGAAGAACAGUAUGAAGAGAAAAGGCAAAGAGCUGUGUUUCUUCAAGAGCUUAUUGCUUCAACUAUCUUCUAAGAUGUGCAUGACCAGACGGAGGAUUCAACCCAACCAAGAGAACAGCUUUAGAACAUAUGUAUGGGAAUAAUGGUUCACGGAAAUGUAUUUAUAGGUGCUACAUGUAUUCCAGUACUAGCUAAAGUCUCGAAUCAUCUAAUAACUUCAUUCAUGGCUAGAAACUGUUUACAUGAACACAUAUGCACUGCAUAGUAUUUGUAUCCAAACAAUGUAUGUGCAAAUUGAGAGAUUUUAAGUGUGUUGGUACUUUGGUGAAGUUCAG
rnacentral:misc_RNA from 1 species